CCUACGGGUGGCAGCAGUGAGGAAUAUUGGUCAAUGGCCGCAGGGCUGAACCAGCCAAGUCGCGUGAGGGAUGACGGUCCUAUGGAUUGUAAACCUCUUUUGUCAGGGAGCAAAGGGCGCCACGUGUGGCGCUUUGCGAGUACCUGAAGAAAAAGCAUCGGCUAACUCCGUGCCAGCAGCCGCGGUAAUACGGAGGAUGCGAGCGUUAUCCGGAUUUAUUGGGUUUAAAGGGUGCGGAGGCGGAAAGUUAAGUUAGGGGUGAAAUUCCGGGGCUCAACUCCGGCCGUGCCUCUGAUACUGGCGGGCUAGAGUGAAGGUGAAGUAGGCGGAAUGCGUGGUGUAGCGGUGAAAUGCAUAGAGAUCACGCAGAACUCCGAUUGCGAAGGUAGCAUACC
rnacentral:rRNA from 1 species